rnacentral:rRNA from 1 species
GACGAACGCUGGCGGCGUGCCUAAUACAUGCAAGUCGAGCGGACAGAAGGGAGCUUGCUCCCGGAAGUUAGCGGCGGACGGGUGAGUAACACGUGGGCAACCUACCCUGUAGAUCGGGAUAACAUCGAGAAAUCGGUGCUAAUACCGGAUAAUCAUUUGAAGUGCAUGCUUCGAAUGUAAAAGAUGGCUCCGGCUAUCACUACGGGAUGGGCCCGCGGCGCAUUAGCUAGUUGGUAAGGUAAUGGCUUACCAAGGCAACGAUGCGUAGCCGACCGGAGAGGGUGAUCGGCCACACUGGGACGGAGGCACGGCCCAGAAUCCUACGGGAGGCAGAAGUAGGGAAUCUUCCGCAAUGGACGAAAGUCUGACGGAGCAACGCCGCGUGAGUGAUGAAGGUUUUCGGAUCGUAAAGCUCUGUUGUUAGGGAAGAACAAGUGCCGUUUGAAUAAGGCGGCACCUUGACGGUACCUAACCAGAAAGCCACGGCUAACUACGUGCCAGCCGCCGCCGUAACAC